rnacentral:rRNA from 1 species
GUGUCAGCCGCCGCGGUAAGACGAACCGUGCGAACGUUGUUCGGAUUCACUGGGCUUAAAGGGCGCGUAGGCGGGCUGCCAAGUCAGGGGUGAAAUCCUCCGGCUCAACCGGAGAACAGCCCCUGAUACUGGCGGCCUCGAGGGAGGUAGGGGCCGAUGGAACUUCCGGUGGAGCGGUGAAAUGCGUAGAUAUCGGAAGGAACGCCGGUGGCGAAAGCGAUCGGCUGGACCUCUUCUGACGCUGAGGCGCGAAAGCCAGGGGAGCAAACGGGAUUAGAAACCCCAGUAGUCC